rnacentral:rRNA from 1 species
UGCGCAGGCGGUUGUGCAAGACAGAUGUGAAAUCCCCGGGCUUAACCUGGGAAUGGCAUUUGUGACUGCACAGCUAGAGUGUGUCAGAGGGGGGUAGAAUUCCACGUGUAGCAGUGAAAUGCGUAGAGAUGUGGAGGAAUACCGAUGGCGAAGGCAGCCCCCUGGGAUAACACUGACGCUCAUGCACGAAAGCGUGGGGAGCAAACAG